CAGUCGAACGGACCCAUAUUGAAACCUAGUGAUUUAUGAGUUAGUGGCGGACGGGUGAGUAACGCGUGGAUAACCUGCCGUAUACCGGGGGAUAACACUUAGAAAUAGGUGCUAAUACCGCAUAAGCGCACGGCUCCGCAUGGGGCAGUGUGAAAAACUCCGGUGGUAUACGAUGGAUCCGCGUCUGAUUAGCUAGUUGGCGGGGUAACGGCUCACCAAGGCAGCGAUCAGUAGCCGGCCUGAGAGGGUGGACGGCCACAUUGGGACUGAGACACGGCCCAAACUCCUACGGGAGGCAGCAGUGGGGAAUAUUGCACAAUGGGGGAAACCCUGAUGCAGCGACGCCGCGUGAGUGAAGAAGUAUCUCGGUACGUAAAGCUCUAUCAGCAGGGAAGAUAAUGACGGUACCUGACCAAGAAGCCCCGGCUAACUACGUGCCAGCAGCCGCGGUAAUACGUAGGGGGCAAGCGUUAUCCGGAUUUACUGGGUGUAAAGGGAGCGUAGACGGCAGCACAAGUCUGGAGUGAAAUCCCGGGGCUUAACCCCGGAACUGCUUUGGAAACUGUGCGGCUGGAGUGCAGGAGGGGUAAGCGGAAUUCCUAGUGUAGCGGUGAAAUGCGUAGAUAUUAGGAGGAACACCGGUGGCGAAGGCGGCUUACUGGACUGUAACUGACGUUGAGGCUCGAAAGCGUGGGGAGCAAACAGGAUUAGAUACCCUGGUAGUCCACGCCGUAAACGAUGAUUACUAGGUGUCGGGGGACCAAGGUCCUCCGGUGCCGGCGCAAACGCAUU
rnacentral:rRNA from 1 species